rnacentral:lncRNA from 1 species
UCCGCCACAGGUAACCCUAACUUCUCUUUAUUUCUAAAUUGGAUAUUGAUUGGAUAUUACCAAGCACAAGUGUUCUCCUUCUAUUUUUUUAAUCUAUUUCUUCUCCCUCUUGAUAACUGAAUUUCUGCACCCCAAAUUUCUAUCAAAACUUCUCUUCUUUGUCGUCUAAUCUAGCAAAUUGAGCAAGAUAGUUUAAAUAUAAACUGACACAUGUUAAAUUUGGA